rnacentral:misc_RNA from 1 species
UUUUUCUCAGAUUCAUCACCCGGCACACGGCCCCUUCUCUCUCUCAAUCUCUUUAUUGCUACCACUACUUCUUCAUUUCGCUCCCCAGAUCCUUCGUCUUCACUAUCACUCUUCAAUUCUCUUUCUUUCCAGGUGAGAAAGUUUGAUUGUAGGUGGAAAUGGCGACUGGAGCUGUGCCGGCGUCGUUUACUGGUCUUAAGACCAGGGACUCCAGCUUAGGAUUUGGCAAGAGCAUGGAUUUUGUGAGAGUUUGUGAUUUGAAGAGGAUCAAAUCUGGUAGGAAAAAAAAUUUCUAUGAUUCGAAACUCGAAUCCUGGUCCUGAGAUGGUUGAACUUCAGCCCGCGUCAGAAGGGAGCCCUUUGUUAGUUCCUAGACAAAAGUAUUGUGAAUCUGUUCACAAGACUGUCAGGAGGAAAACAAGAACCGUAAUGGUCGGAAAUGUGGCUCUUGGUAGUGAGCAUCCUAUCAGGGUUCAAACUAUGACUACAAGUGACACUAAGGAUGUUGCUGGGACAGUUG